UGAGGAGUCCCAUAACAGGACGAAACGGCCGUC
rfam:Schistosoma haematobium scaffold335_1, whole genome shotgun sequence.